rnacentral:lncRNA from 1 species
CGCGGCGGGGCGGUUCCCGGGACGCGGUGCGCGUCGGGGCGAGCGCGCGAGUCCCCGGCGCGCCCUCCACCCUCGCCCGGCAGCCGCUUCCUUCCCCGCGCCGCCUGCGCCCGUGACCAGCCCGAGUCACCCCCCGCGCCGGGCUCCCGCCACCGCGUCGCCUCCGGACGCCGCCCGGACCGCGGGGCCACCCCGGGAAGGAGGAUCCCGCGGAUGGCUGCAGCCCGAGAAACUACUGAUAUUGAGUCCUUUGGCUUUCAAUUCAGAGGAGACCCAGGUGCAGCUCUCUUUAGUCCUCCAGAAUCAUGCAACACCAUCCGCCUCUACCAUGUCACCUAAGUUUGACCCCAGUGAGAUCAAAGUCCUGUACCCGAGGUUCCCCAUUGGGGAAGUUGAUGCGUUUCUGCCCUGGCCCAGAAGAUCAACCCCCUGGGUCUGUUUCCAAAAAAGGUGGUCAUUUGCCCUCCUAAUAUCAAAGAAUCAAUCUAUGAUCAAGAAAGAUUGAUAAG